rnacentral:misc_RNA from 1 species
GAUGAAGAACGUAGCGAAAUGCGAUAAGUAAUGUGAAUUGCAGAAUUCAGUGAAUCAUCGAAUCUUUGAACGCACAUUGCGCCCGCCAGUAUUCUGGCGGGCAUGCCUGUCCGAGCGUCAUUUCAACCCUCGAACCCCUCCGGGGGGUCGGCGUUGGGGAUCGGCACUUACCUGCCGGCCCCGAAAUACAGUGGCGGUCUCGCCGCAGCCUCUCCUGCGCAGUAGUUUGCACACUCGCACCGGGAGCGCGGCGCGUCCACGGCCGUAAAACAACCCAAACUGCUGAAAUGUUGACCUCGGAUCAGGUAGGAAUACCCGCUGAACUUAAGCAUAUCAAUAAGCGGAGGA